rnacentral:snoRNA from 1 species
GAGUGGUAGUAAGGGCACCUUCGCAAAAUGUCCUUGUAUCUCUCCCAUGCAUCAUAGAGUGUUUCUAAAUCCAUCUGCACAAAAGAGGAGAUAUCAUUACGUAAUUU